GGGGGGGAAGACUCAGGAUAGGAAUGGCGGCUCUAAUUCCAAUUGUGGCCUCCACGGCCGCUCCGGGGAUUUCCCGGAACAGCAAGAAGAGGCCAGCCAGUCCUUCCCACAACGGCAGCAGCAGCAGCAGCAGCGGGGGAUAUGGCCCGGGUAAGAAGAAAAAAGUGUCCGCCUCUAGCUUUGCACAGGGUAUCAGCAUGGAAGCCAUGAGUGAGAAUCAAAUGGUGCCCUCUGACUUUAGCACAGGACCUAUGGAAAAAACUUCCAAACCUUUGCCAUUUAAGGAUCCCAACUUUGUGCACUCCGGCCGUGGUGGCGCGGUAGCUGGCAAGAAGAACAGAACCUGGAAGAACCUGAAACAAAUCCUCGCUUCUGAAAGGGCAUUGCCGUGGCAACUGAAUGAUCCUAACUACUUCAGUAUUGAUGCUCCUCCAUCCUUCAAACCAGCUAAGAAGUAUUCUGAUGUUUCAGGUCUUCUUGCCAACUACACUGACCCGCAGAGCAAGCUGCGGUUCAGCACCAUCGAAGAGUUUUCCUACACUCGGAGGCUGCCCUCCGAUGUCACAGGCUACCUGGCCCUGCGGAAGGCCACAAGCAUCGUGCCCUGAGCCUUGAGAAGUGGCGAUGAAGUGGAAAACUUUCCAAGCCAGACUUGGACGCACGGUUUUGUUUCAUGGAAACGCUCAUUCCGCCGUCAGUCUGGAAAUGUCAGCGCUGGCCCUUGGAAAGAAUGUUUGGCUUUAAGGUGUGUGUUUUUUCUAUGUUUUCCCUCCAAGUGUGAUAUUUCCUGUUGAGUUAAAUUAUAUUUCACUUGUUGCCUCAAGUAAAGUCAUUUGACAAGAAAAAAUA